ACGUAGGCAGCAAGCGUUGUUCGGAAUUACUGGGCGUAAGGGGUGCGUAGGCGGUUUUGUAAGUUUGGUGUGAAAUCUCCCGGCUCAACUGGGAGGGUGCGCCGAAAACUGCAAGGCUAGAGUACAGGAGAGGAGAGUGGAAUUCCUGGUGUAGCGGUGAAAUGCGUAGAUAUCAGGAGGAACACCGGUGGUGUAGACGGCUCUCUGGACUGUUACUGACGCUGAGGCACGAAAGCGUGGGGAGCAAACAG
rnacentral:rRNA from 1 species